rnacentral:tRNA from 2 species
CGCCGGCGAGCUGCCGGGCGGGCAGCUCUGCGCUUGUGCCGUGGAUGAAGCGCAGCGGCAGGUUCAGCUCGCGCGCGGCUGC